rnacentral:lncRNA from 1 species
UCACGUUACUUCUGUACGGUCUUUUUCCUGUUUCAGGUCCCUUGUUUCGGCUGCUAUUGUGGAUAUCUGGAACCCCCUUUCUUAGUGGGAUACGAAGUUCGGUUUCCACCGGGAAUGAAGCCCUGGUGUCUAGACGCCAGCGGCGGGUUGGCCGGUCAUUUCGGUGGGAAGCUGAUGGGAUAGGGGUCGUAUCUUCCACCGAGGUUCGUGCGAAAGAUGCAAACCCUAUCCAUGCCAU